UAAUACAUAAGUAACCUGCCCUAGACAGGGGGAUAACUAUUGGAAACGAUAGCUAAGACCGCAUAGGUACGGACACUGCAUGGUGACCGUAUUAAAAGUGCCUCAAAGCACUGGUAGAGGAUGGACUUAUGGCGCAUUAGCUGGUUGGCAGGGUAACGGCCCACCAAGGCGACGAUGCGUAGCCGACCUGAGAGGGUGACCGGCCACACUGGGACUGAGACACGGCCCAG
rnacentral:rRNA from 1 species